rnacentral:lncRNA from 1 species
GGACACUGGGGCAUUUAACUGCCAGUGCCCAGCAGUCGUAGUUGAGUCCUGCUGAUGAAACAGAAAACCUGCAACCUGCCCUGUUUGCAGGCAGAACAGACAGUUAAAUAUAUCAGCCAAGGAACAGCAGGGGCUGGUAGCUGAAGUUUGGACAGUCGAGCCCGUAAAUGAUUUAUUCCACUCUGUUAAGCUUCCUGAAUCACAGAGAAGUUGUCAGAAAGAUUUUAGCCUCCGCUAUAGGAAGUCCUGCCCACCUUCUCCAGAUCUCUGUUCUCAUAGUCCAUCCUCUGGUUCCAGAUAUCUUCCUCGAAUAUCAACAGAGAAGAACAGCAGCCACGUGGAUAAGGCAGAGUUUGGGAAAUCCUGGAUUCCCUUAUCAUAAAGCAUCUUACAGUAACCUCAGAAAUGCAGAAGUUACUUGUAAUGGUGCUGUAGACACUGUACGAGAAAGUUUCACCUUUAUGAUCUAAUUUAAUUCUCACAAAAACCCUGUUAGGUAGGGUGUUAUUAUUUAAAUUUAAAUCAGAGGAAAAUGUAACAGGAAUUCUGCAACUUACAGUCAAAGAGAUAAUAAACAGGAGCAUCUGUGGUUUGAAA